rnacentral:rRNA from 1 species
CUCCAGACUCCUACGGGAGGCAGCAGUGAGGAAUAUUGGUCAAUGGUCGGGAGACUGAACCAGCCAAGCCGCGUGAGGGAUGAAGGUACAGAGUAUCGUAAACCUCUUUUGUCAGGGAACAAAGGCGGGGACGUGUCCCCGGAUGAGUGUACCUGAAGAAAAAGCAUCGGCUAACUCCGUGCCAGCAGCCGCGGUAAUACGUAGGGGGCAAGCGUUAUCCGGAUUUACUGGGUGUAAAGGGAGCGUAGACGGUGCGCCAAGUCUGGAGUGAAAUGCCGCAGCUUAACUGCGGAACUGCUUUGGAAACUGGCGAACUAGAGUGCGGGAGGGGUAAGCGGAAUUCCUAGUGUAGCGGUGAAAUGCGUAGAUAUUAGGAGGAACACCGGUGGCGAAGGCGGCUUACUGGACCGUAACUGACGUUGAGGCUCGAAAGCGUGGGGAGCAAACAGGAUUAGAUACCCCUGUAA